AUCUUCCCGGACCGGGGCACGAACCCGUGUCCCCUGCAUUGGCAGGCGGACUUUCAACCACUGCGCCACCAGGGAAGCCCCACUUGUUCCAUUUUUAAACAUCAGGAGAUUACCAUUGGUGACAUGUGCUAAUUAUCUGGUUUGAUGCGUGGCUGGCAUGAGACUUCCAUCUGCAGCAAUCAGGAAGACGAGAUCAGUGUGAGGCUAAUGCUGCCCAGUCCAUGGCCUAUUUGUAGUGAUGAGUACCCUUGUCUUUUUUCUGUUUGCCCCAUAGAUAUCACGUGUUGGAAACAUAGCUGCCAGAAGUUUAGCAUAAACCUGGUGAGACUGAAUAUAACUUCCGUCCAGUGGAAGGUGCAUUGUCUUCCUAUUAACAGCAUAGCAGCUCUCGAAUUGCAUUGGCCCAACCGAUUGCACAUUUAAAACCUUCUACAUCUCUUUUAAGGUCUCCUGCCAACCGUAAUUCCGAUGUAGAAGCAGUCUUGAAAGAGAGCUGAAAACUGACCUUUUUUGCUUCCUGGUACCAGGUUUGGAGAAGUCCCCUCAAAUGGCCCUUGAUUGCUUUUCUCACCACCAUCAUGUGUCUGCCACAGCUUCAUUAAGACAUGUUAGUUAAGCUUCCUGGCUUAAUUCUGAGCACAUUAAAUCAUACUCAGUAAACUCACUAAACAUUUUGCUUGUUUGUAUUUGUGGUGCUCAGCCAGGAUUAGAGAGGCAGUGAGCUCAGAACCCGGUAGGAGCCACACUUGCUAAUUCUUCAUUCACACUUUAGAUCAAAUUAGCGUACAUUUUCAUCAUGUCGUGUUCUACCAAAGCGAACAGAGGAGAAGGCUUUCUGUCCCCUGGUUCUUCUCGUCUGCUACUGCAGCAGAUGACUCAGCACAGGAAUCCUCCAGACAAGACUAUAGAGGGAUUUGUACGUCUGCUCAUGGCGCAUGGGAAAGCCACAACCUUUGAGGGCUUAACAUAAGAAGUAGGUGCUAAAAAGCUAAGUCAAUGAAUAGAGAGGAUCACGCAAUUGGUUAUAGUUGGCCCUGUUGGGGAGAACAGAAGAGACUCUGGGCUCUGGGCCUUGUUGCUGUCUUAGCCCCUUGUUCCUCUCUUAGCUCGCUCCCAUUGGGGAGCCCUUUGGGGAGCAUUGCUUAUUUAUAAGCUGGCCAUUGCUUAUUCUGGUGCCUCUGCCAGGUUCCUCCUACCUCAGUACAUUGACACCUGCUGCUCCCUCCGCCUGAAAAUCUCCCUAACCCCCUUCGCCCACUAAACCCUCCUCUCAGGAUUUAUCCGACCAGACACUUUGCGGGGAAGACUAAAUCAGGACUCCAUUAAAUCUUCUCACACCACCUUCAAGAUGGAGGAAAUGAGCACAGGCAAACCUGGAGCCCUUGACCACUGUCACACAGGCAAGACUGGUCACAUCUAGAGGAGCAGUGGAAGGAAACCUCCAGAACUCCGGGGCUCAGGGCAGUUUCCACAAGGCCUACAGCUAAUCACAGAUCCAGGGUUUCCUCCCAUUGACUAAAAUUAUAAUAAAUACAAGUUACAGCCUGACUACCUUCUGAGAAAAUCUUAUAAUGGCUGACUGCGGAGUCCAAGGGGAUGAGUUCUCCUGAGUGCUGAAAGUUCAUGCUACAAUAAGAGAGGAAGCAAAAUGACUGAGCCUGCACUUUUGACGCAGUGAUCCUGCCAGGCAACUGGCAUGGCUGCAUCCGUGUCCUUGAGUUCCACAAACAGAUAUGGACCCAGAAGGAGUCAGUCAGAGGAGAAGCCAAGGUGACGAUGGAAACAUGGAUUGGAGUGAUGCGAUUUGAAGAUGAAGGAAGUGGUCAGAAGCCAAUGAAUACACGUGUCCAAUAGAAGCUGGAAAAGAAGCGGAAAUGACAUCUCCCCUCAUGUUCUCCAGAGUGAACCGACUCUACGGCCACCUAGACUUUAGCCCAGUGAAACUGAUUUUGGACUUCUGGCCUACAGAGCUGUAAGAGAGUAAAUUUGUGUUGUUUGAAGCCACUGAGUUUGUGGUAAUUUGUUACAGCAGCCAUAAGAAACGAAUACAAGGUUGCACUAGGUGACUUCUAUGGCUGCUUCUAACUUUAAUUGUUACUUCAUAGCUAUGACCCAUUGCUAAGUGACCCAGACGUUGCAAUACUUGGGUGCCUUAACAGAUCUUGUUUUCUGUUUGUGUUUGUUUGUUUUUUUUAAUAAAAACAUUGUUUGACGAGACA